rnacentral:rRNA from 1 species
AUUGAACGCUGGCGGCAGGCCUAACACAUGCAAGUCGAACGAGCGGCGGACGGGUGAGUAAUGUAUGGGAAACUGCCCGAUGGAGGGGGAUAACUACUGGAAACGGUGGCUAAUACCGCAUACUAUCAGAUGAGCCCAGAUGGGAUUAGCUAGUUGGUGGGGUAAAGGCUCACCUAGGCGACGAUCUCUAGCUGGUCUGAGAGGAUGACCAGCCACACUGUGACUGAGACACGGUCCAGACUCCUACGGGAGGCAGCAGUGGGGAAUAUUGCACAAUGGGCGCAAGCCUGAUGCAGCCAUGCCGCGUGUAUGAAGAAGGCCUUCGGGUUGUAAAGUACUUUCAGCGGGGAGGCGUUACCCGCAGAAGAAGCACCGGCUAACUCCGUGCCAGCAGCCGCGGUAAUUC